CCUACGGGUGGCAGCAGUAGGGAAUAUUGCGCAAUGGGGGAAACCCUGACGCAGCAACGCCGCGUGGAGGAUGAAGGUUUUCGGAUUGUAAACUCCUUUUGUUAGAGAAGAUAAUGACGGUAUCUAACGAAUAAGCACCGGCUAACUCCGUGCCAACAGCCGGCGUAAUACGGAGGGUGCAAGCGUUACUCGGAAUCACUGGGCGUAAAGAGCGCGUAGGCGGGAUAGCAAGUCAGAUGUGAAAUCCUAUUGCCUAAACAUAAGAAUGCAUUUGAAACUGUUAUUCUAGAGUAUGGGAGAGGUAGGUGGAAUUCUUGGUGUAGGGGUAAAAUCCGUAGAGAUAAAGAGGAAUACCCAUUGCGAAGGCGACCUGCUAG
rnacentral:rRNA from 1 species